GGGUGAUAAAUGAGACCAUAAACUAAGCUCGGUUGUCAUCGCUCUGCAGCAGGCUUGUAACCAUAUCACCUGCAGAGAUGGUUGUUUUACGUCUUUGCUGAUACACAAACUUGUGGCUACUUCCCCAUGGUGGCCAAAUAGCUCAGUGCUCAGCCUUGCCCAGGAGCUGGAGGUCAUUCUUGCUGACUCUCUGAUUCUAGGACACCUCAUCCAGUGUUUGUCCAUUUCUGCAGGAUGUGAAGGACUAGGACCCUGUCCCCACCGUUCUGCUGCUGAGCACAAGAAGUGGAAAUUUGCAUUUCGUGAAGCCGGAUGGCAGCCAAGCGUGGCGUGGGUGCAGGUGCAGCUUGUGCAGGGGGCGGCUCCCCUUGGCACAGGGAGAAGGGUGCACACUCUGCCUGGUGCUGGCCCGGGCUGUCCAUCCCUUCUCCGGGUCCAUGGGUCUGAGCGGAGGCACAGAGGGCUUUGACCCAUGGACAGGAGACUGAAAUCCCAUGCCCAAGAUGCCCAAUUGCUGCUCCUCUCCAGAUACCCGGAAUCCCAGUCCCUUCUGGAAGGAAGGCUUUCUUUGAUGUCAUACUGAAUCUGAGUGGAAGAAGCACCUCACUCUCUAGUGCAGAUGGUGUUGGAAAGGGACAGAACCCCGAGCAAGAGUGACCUUGUGUGUCCUGCAGAUCCAGGGGCUUCGGGCAGGACUCCCCGGUGGCUCCUCCGGGCUUCCUUGCAAAGCAGUACAGGGUCAUUUGAGUGCUGGGAGAGCUGAGCAGAGAACAAGCUUCCUGUGAACAGUGGCGUGUACAGCUGGAGAGGACAUGCACAGGUCACCGCAGGUGUGCACACCCACCCAGCCCCACCCGGGGUGUGACCCUCGGCUGGCAGGCGACCCACGAGCAGCAGGGUCCCUACAAACAGCUACCGCAGCGCCUUGCCGUGGGCAGCUGAACCAGGGCUCUCAGCCCGGUGACCAGCCCUUUCCCAGUGAGACAAGCAUCAGUCUUGGUCAUGCAGACCACUGCCCGGCCCCGGGUGAAGCCUCCAAAGAGGGAGUGACCCGCAAACGCCAGUGAGCCGCUACCCUGCGUCCACAGUGGCUCUUGUUUCUACAUAUUAUUCCUGAUGCGUCAACUAGAGCAAACGGGAGAGGGCGCCGGUGCUGUCUCCUUCCUCCAGGGAGCUGGUCCUAGUGCGUGAGAGAUGGGGGCACAGGGCAGUGAGGAGGGUUGCACGUCCUGCACCUGCACCUUUGAUAAGCCAGCGAGACCCACCAAGCGCAGGGCUUGCAUGGCAAGCAGGAGGCAGAAGAAGAUGCUGGAAAACACUGUCCAGGAAGGCUAUGGCCAAGACAGGGCACCCUGUACCUGGCUCCCAGGAGGGGCUACCCACCUUCCCAGGCCUCCAGGGUGCAGAUCAGCUGAUCUGCACCCCCAGGUGAGAACCUGGGUGGGUGUGGAGACAGAAAAAUAAACGAGCAACUUAUGUAACUGAUGUGAAGACAACAGUGCACAGUAUAACAACCACUGGUGAAUUCCUACCACCCUAUCUAGUGAAGCUCUGCGUUGUCUCUAAUGUUUUUUUUUUUUUAAUUAUUAUUUUCUUAUUCUCUUUAAUGG